rnacentral:rRNA from 1 species
AACGGGGGUACACGAGUGGCGAACGGGUGAGUAACACGUGGGUAAUCUGCCCUGCACUUCGGGAUAAGCCUGGGAAACUGGGUCUAAUACCGGAUAUGAACUCCUGCCGCAUGGUGGGGGUUGGAAAGUUUUUCGGUGCAGGAUGAGCCCGCGGCCUAUCAGCUUGUUGGUGGGGUAAUGGCCUACCAAGGCGACGACGGGUAGCCGGCCUGAGAGGGUGAUCGGCCACACUGGGACUGAGACACGGCCCAGACUCCUACGGGAGGCAGCAGUGGGGAAUAUUGCACAAUGGGCGAAAGCCUGAUGCAGCGACGCCGCGUGGGGGAUGACGGUCUUCGGAUUGUAAACCCCUUUCAGUAGGGACGAAGCGCAAGUGACGGUACCUGCAGAAGAAGCACCGGCUAACUACGUGCCAGCAGCCGCGGUAAUACGUAGGGUGCGAGCGUUGUCCGGAAUUACUGGGCGUAAAGAGCUCGUAGGCGGUUUGUCACGUCGUCUGUGAAAUCCCUCGGCUUAACCGGGGGCGUGCAGGCGAUACGGGCAGACUUGAGUACUACAGGGGAGACUGGAAUUCCUGGUGUAGCGGUGAAAUGCGCAGAUAUCAGGAGGAACACCGGUGGCGAAGGCGGGUCUCUGGGUAGUAACUGACGCUGAGGAGCGAAAGCAUGGGUAGCGAACAGGAUUAGAUACCCUGGUAGUCCAUGCCGUAAACGGUGGGCGCUAGGUGUGGGGUCCUUCCACGGACUCCGUGCCGUAGCUAACGCAUUAAGCGCCCCGCCUGGGGAGUACGGCCGCAAGGCUAAAACUCAAAGGAAUUGACGGGGGCCCGACAAGCGGCGAACAUG